UUUAUGGAGAGUUUGAUCCUGGCUCAGGAUGAACGCUGGCGGCGUGCCUAAUACAUGCAAGUCGAGCGAACGGACGAGAAGCUUGCUUCUCUGAUGUUAGCGGCGGACGGGUGAGUAACACGUGGAUAACCUACCUAUAAGACUGGGAUAACUUCGGGAAACCGGAGCUAAUACCGGAUAAUAUUUUGAACCGCAUGGUUCAAAAGUGAAAGACGGUCUUGCUGUCACUUAUAGAUGGAUCCGCGCUGCAUUAGCUAGUUGGUAAGGUAACGGCUUACCAAGGCAACGAUGCAUAGCCGACCUGAGAGGGUGAUCGGCCACACUGGAACUGAGACACGGUCCAGACUCCUACGGGAGGCAGCAGUAGGGAAUCUUCCGCAAUGGGCGAAAGCCUGACGGAGCAACGCCGCGUGAGUGAUGAAGGUCUUCGGAUCGUAAAACUCUGUUAUUAGGGAAGAACAUAUGUGUAAGUAACUGUGCACAUCUUGACGGUACCUAAUCAGAAAGCCACGGCUAACUACGUGCCAGCAGCCGCGGUAAUACGUAGGUGGCAAGCGUUAUCCGGAAUUAUUGGGCGUAAAGCGCGCGUAGGCGGUUUUUUAAGUCUGAUGUGAAAGCCCACGGCUCAACCGUGGAGGGUCAUUGGAAACUGGAAAACUUG
rnacentral:rRNA from 1 species